rnacentral:lncRNA from 1 species
CUUCAGAGUUUAAACAAAGCGCUAAGCAAGCACAAAUUCAAAGCGAGAAUUCCAGCCAGCAGGAAGAGAAACAUGGACGUGAGAAUCGCGGGUUUGGAUUCCCCACUCUUCUCCACACUGCAGCACAUCAUGGACUUCACCGACGAGCCUGACAAAUCGUUCAACGCCCCCACCCGCACCUACGUCCGCGACGCCAAGGCCAUGGCGUCCACGCCGGCGGACGUCAAGGAGUAUCCCAACUCCUAUGUCUUCGUCGUGGACAUGCCAGGCCUCAAGUCCGGAGACAUCAAGGUCCAGGUGGAGGACGACAAUGUGCUUCUGAUCACCGGCGAGAGGAAGAGGGAGGAGGAGAAGGAGGGGGCUAAGUAUGUCAGGAUGGAGAGGAGGGUCGGCAAGUUUAUGAGGAAGUUUGUGCUGCCUGAGAAUGCUAAUGUGGAAGCCAUUUCUGCUGUAUGCCAAGAUGGGGUCCUGACUGUGACUGUGGAGAAGCUGCCUCCACCUGAGCCAAAGAAGCCCAAGACCAUUGAGGUCAAGAUUGCUUGAGGAGUUUUCUCUGAGAUUUGGGUUUAUGAGCUUCAUUAUGCUUAUAGCUUAUGAUAAGGGCAUGGGUUGGUUUUAAGGCCUUUUGGUAUUAAUCCGGAUGUGUUUCAUUUUCUUGUUUGUUUGUGUUCUGGUGUGCUAAGCUUUUGCAUUUUCUGAUCAGUUGUGAAGUGCGGCUUUUAUCAAUGAAGCAUAUGUUUGUAAUAUUUCUU